UCGACGAUAAAGCACCUUCGGGUGUGUAUAGAGUGGCGAACGGGUGAGUAACACGUGACCAACCUGCCUCUUACAUUGGGACAACCAAAAGAAGUUCUGGCUAAUACCAAAUACUCCGCACAUAUCACAUGAUGUAUGCGGGAAAGCUUUUGCGGUAAGAGAUGGGGUCGCGGCCCAUUAGGUAGACGGCGGGGUAGAAGCCCACCGUGCCGAUGAUGGGUAGCCGGGUUGAGAGACCGACCGGCCACAUUGGGACUGAGAUACGGCCCAGACUCCUACGGGAGGCAGCAGUGGGGAAUAUUGCGCAAUGGGGGAAACCCUGACGCAGCAACGCCGCGUGCGGGAUGAAGGCCUUCGGGUUGUAAACCGCUUUCAGCAGGGAAGACAUCGACGGUACCUGCAGAAGAAGCCCCGGCUAACUACGUGCCAGCAGCCGCGGUAAUACGUAGGGGGCGAGCGUUAUCCGGAUUCAUUGGGCGUAAAGCGCGCGCAGGCGGUUGCUCAAGCGGAACCUCUAAUCUCGGGGCUUAACCUCGAGCCGGGUUCCGAACUGGACGACUCGAGUGCGGUAGAGGCAGAUGGAAUUCCCGGUGUAGCGGUGGAAUGCGCAGAUAUCGGGAAGAACACCAACGGCGAAGGCAGUCUGCUGGGCCGUCACUGACGCUGAGGCGCGAAAGCUGGGGGAGCGAACAGGAUUAGAUACCCUGGUAGUCCCAGCCGUAAACGAUGAGCGCUGGGUGUGGGAGAUUACAUCUUCCGUGCCGAAGCUAACGCAUUAAGCGCUCCGCC
rnacentral:rRNA from 1 species